rnacentral:rRNA from 1 species
CACACCGCCCGUCACACCAUGAAAGUUAGGCUUACCAGAAGUCGUUGCGCUGACCGUAAGGAGGCAGACGCCCAAGGUAGGACUGAUGAUUGGGGUG